CAUCACGGAUCUGUCUUCCUUGCCAGGGCCCACUGAAGAAAACUAACGCUCGGGUCCCAUAAUCCUUGUGGGAGACCAACCUUGUGCCUCCGGGAGAUCCACGCUCCCACCUGCAAACAAACGGGAAGCCAAGAUUCCAAAAAAGCGCUGUCUCCUUGCUCCGAGGUGAGGUGAGAUUAUCCAGAAGGCACUCCCAGUGGAGGUAGUAUCAUUCUCCGCUCCUCACCUCCUCCUACGUCAGCUGGCCUGAAGUCUCACCCGCCUCCUCCCCCGAAGAAGUAGUAUAUUUCUCCCACCCUAAACCAGAAGCACAUGCAGGCAUUCAACAGUUCUUUCACAAAAUAUGCUUGGAUGAAAUGAUGGAUAUUUAAUGACAGUAUUCAGGAAGCACGGAAGAUGGACCACAUCACUCUGCCUGGUAGUAAUCAUGAGCCAUCAAAGAGAAAGGGAAAACAUGAGGUGGGCCUUAAAGGUCUUUGAGGGAUUGCAGUAUGAGUCCAUUUCCGUGGUGCAUUGGUAAAGUCGUUUACCCAAUGAAGACAAAGAAGUUUAUUUACCCUGCUUUUCUGAUAUCCUGCACCUGGAAGUUGUGAUUUUUAAGAAUACCUGAAACUGGGUAAUUUUUAAAGAAAAGAA